AGCGAACGCUGGCGGCAUGCCUAACACAUGCAAGUCGAACGAGACCUUCGGGUCUAGUGGCGCACGGGUGCGUAACGCGUGGGAACCUGCCUUUAGGUUCGGAAUAACUCAGAGAAAUUUGAGCUAAUACCGGAUGAUGUCUUCGGACCAAAGAUUUAUCGCCUUUAGAUGGGCCCGCGUUGGAUUAGCUAGUUGGUGGGGUAAAGGCCUACCAAGGCGACGAUCCAUAGCUGGUCUGAGAGGAUGAUCAGCCACACUGGGACUGAGACACGGCCCAGACUCCUACGGGAGGCAGCAGUGGGGAAUAUUGGACAAUGGGCGAAAGCCUGAUCCAGCAAUGCCGCGUGAGUGAUGAAGGCCUUAGGGUUGUAAAGCUCUUUUACCCGAGAUGAUAAUGACAGUAGCGGGAGAAUAAGCUCCGGCUAACUCCGUG
rnacentral:rRNA from 1 species